rnacentral:rRNA from 1 species
UACGGAGGGUGCAAGCGUUAUCCGGAUUCACUGGGUUUAAAGGGUGCGUAGGUGGGUUGGUAAGUCAGUGGUGAAAUCUCCAGGCUUAGCUUGGAAACUGCCAUUGAUACUAUCAAUCUUGAAUACCGUGGAGGUCAGCGGAAUAUGUCAUGUAGCGGUGAAAUGCUUAGAUAUGACAUAGAACACCAAUUGCGAAGGCAGCUGGCUACACGAAUAUUGACACUGAUGCACGAAAGCGUGGGGAUCAAACAGG